CAUUAGAUGACUGAAAGAAAGUAAUGGUCUCUUAAACCAAAAAAUAGUAUUUAACGCUUACUUCUAAUGA
rnacentral:tRNA from 2 species